rnacentral:lncRNA from 1 species
UUCCUUCCUUCCUUCCUUCCUUCCUUCCUUCCUUCCUUCCUUCCUCUCUCUCUCUUUCUUUCUUUCUUUCCUUCUUGACAGGGUCUCCCUGUAGCCAGGCUGGAGCUGGUCUCAAACUCCUAGACUCAAGCAAUCUGCCCACCUCGGCCUCCCAAGGUGCUGGGAUGAUAGGCAUGAGCCACCGCACCCAGCCUAUCUCCUAGAUCUUGAAUCAAAAAUAAAAUGUAAAUCACUUCCAUUCUGCUAGCAUGAGGGUUUGUUGCUAAAAUUGAGGAUUCUAUCUGACGUUUACUUUUUGUUGUUUUUUGAGACAAGGUCUUGCUUUGUCGCCCAUGCUGGAGUGCAGUGGCAUCAUUAUAACUCACUGUCAAACUCCUGGACUCCAAUGUUCCCUCCCCUUUUAGCCUCCCAAGUAGCUGGGUCUACAGGCAUGAACCAUCAGGCCCAGAUAAUUAAAAAAACUUUUUUUGGUGAAAACAUGAUCUUGCUAUGUUGCUCAGGCUGGUUGUCUGGCAUUUUCUUUGUCCUUUAUUCUUUAUACUAGCUAAACCCUGGAGUAUCCUUGAAGCCUUUACUGGCAUACAGAGUACCUGAAUCUUACUUUGGAGCCUAGCAUGGGUCAUAAAUAUAUCUGAUUCAUUAACCUGUGAGACAGCUGAGAGAACACAGACUCCUUACCUGUAUCUCCAGGCAUAUCUGGUUUUUCUCUGCCUAAUAGAUUUUCCUGCUUUCUAGUUAGUAAUAUUGAGAAAGAAGAAAGGC